AUGCGAUAAGUAAUGUGAAUUGCAGAAUUCAGUGAAUCAUCGAAUCUUUGAACGCACCUUGCGCUCCUUGGUAUUCCGAGGAGCAUGCCUGUUUGAGUGUCAUUAAAUUCUCAACCUUAUCAGUUUUGUAACGAGACUGUGUAAGGAUUGGAUGUGGGGGUUUCUGCAGGCUGCCUUUGUGCGGUCUGCUCCCCUGAAAUGUAUUAGCGAGUUCACUAAGCUCCAUCUAUUGGUGUGAUAAUUAUCUACGCCGUGGAAUGGGUUUAGACUUGCUUCUAACCGUCUGCAAAGACAACUUUUGACAAUUUGACCUCAAAUCAGGUAGGACUACCCGCUGAACUUAA
rnacentral:misc_RNA from 1 species